rnacentral:lncRNA from 1 species
GAGGGCAGCAUGUGGCCGGGGCGGGUGGGGGCCAGGCUCUGACUUCGCACCCUGCUUGACUUUCUAGAGCCCGUCAGCCAUGGCAAACUGGAGGCGUCGGGAGACAGGGUGACCCUGGUGAGCCUUGGGGUUGCCGAGCGGUUGCUCACCGACGACACGCACCCGGGCGGCCUGGAUGGAGACUCCGCCAGCCUCGACGCCCUCAACAGCGGCACCUUUAACCUGGACCCCCUGGCAGGGGAUGCCCAAAGCGGUCCUGCGGGGGACUUGCCUGCUCAGUCCAACGAGUCGCAAGAGAGUGUGGACCACGACACCGACUCGGAGGAGGCCCUGGCAUCUCAAGGGAUGUGAGGGGCAGGGUCCCACGCUGGAGCUGCCAUGGAGCCCCGAUGGACAGCAGCUUCCUGCCUUCUGCCAAGCUUUCUCGCUCCCUGCCCCUGGCACUGCCCGGGUACCACUCUGCACCCUCCCCACUGUCCUGGCUGCUGUUACAGCUCCAGCCGGGAGCCGUCGGGAGUCCUGCAGCUCACAAGGCUGCUUAGUCUCUGCCCCCAACUCCUCACUGUGCAGCCCCUCGGCUGGAGUAAACCAGCCCUGAUGCCCAUCAAGCCGCACAGAGCGACCCCACCCUAGUGAUCCAGCCCAGCCCCUCCAGCCGGG